UGGGGAAUCUUGCGCAAUGGACGAAAGUCUGACGCAGCGACGCCGCGUGGGUGAUGAAGGCCUUCGGGUUGUAAAGCCCUGUGGGGAGAGACGAAUAAGUGCCGCCUAAUACGUUGCAUGAUGACGGUAUCUCCUUAGCAAGCACCGGCUAACUCUGUGCCAGCAGCCGCGGUAAGACAGAGGGUGCAAAUGUUGUUCGGAAUUACUGGGCGUAAAGCGUGUGUAGGCGGCCAUAUAAGUCGGAUGUGAAAGCCCUGGGCUCAACCCAGGAAGUGCACUCGAUACUGUAUGGCUCGAGUACUGGAGAGGUUGGUGGAAUUCUCGGUGUAGAGGUGAAAUUCGUAGAUAUCGAGAGGAACACCGGUGGCGAAGGCGGCCAACUGGACAGAUACUGACGCUGAGACACGAAAGCGUGGGGAGCAAAC
rnacentral:rRNA from 1 species